UACGAAGGGGGCUAGCGUGGCGCGGAAUUACUGGGCGUAAAGCGCACGUAGGCGGCUUGGUAAGUCGGGGGUGAAAUCCUGGAGCUCAACUCCAGAACUGCCUUCGAUACUGGCGAGCUCGAGUUCGGGAGAGGUGAGUGGAACUGCGAGUGUAGAGGUGAAAUUCGUAGAUAUUCGCAAGAACACCAGUGGCGAAGGCGGCUCACUGGCCCGAUACUGACGCUGAGGUGCGAAAGCGUGGGGAGCAAACAGG
rnacentral:rRNA from 1 species